GUCUACGGCCAUACUGCCCUGCACGUGCCCAUCCUUGCCUGAUCUCAGAAGCUAAGCAGGGUCUGGAUGGGAGAAGGCUGCGUGAAGACC
rnacentral:rRNA from 1 species